ACGAAUAACGGAAGUAUCCCAGGUGGACAGUUUUUGCCCCAUCCUGCAUAUACAAAUAUGGAGAAUGACUUCACUACUUGAUGAUCGCAUAAUCUUGAUGUCAUCAUCUUACAACUUUGUCUAUGAGGAUGUAAAAGAAUAUCUCGUCAUGUAGGCAGAAGCGUUACGUACACAUUUCACUGCUACCACACAAAUUUCUCGCUUCAGGAAAAAAGAAGAAUCGAUUAUGGAACCAC